CAGCGGCCCUAGUGGUGACCGUUAUUAUUGGGCCUAAAGCGUCCGUAGCCGGCUCGGUAAAUCUCUGGGUAAAUCGAUGGGCUUAACUCAUCGAAUUCUGGGGAGACUGCUGGGCUUGGGACCGGGAGAGGUCGGAGGUACUCCAGGGGUAGGGGUGAAAUCCUGUAAUCCCUGGGGGACCACCGGUGGCGAAGGCGUCCGACCAGAAUGGGUCCGACGGUAAGGGACGAAGCCCUGGGGCGCAAACCGGAUUAGAUACCCGAGUAGUCC
rnacentral:rRNA from 1 species